GGUUCAUAAUCUACUCUUCAUUGACUUUAGUUUUCUAUUUUAUUUCAAAUGAUGCACCAUACAAAUAUCUAUAAGAAACUGUAUGUACAUGCCACCUAUAUCACAUACCGCCAAGCAUAAGCAACGACCUCUUAGGUGGGUCCCGCGACAUGGCUAGUCCCGCCUACAACAUGCAUCCGGCAGUCCGACACCCGAGCUACCUCGCUAUGGUGGAGGUCGGCCGGUACCUCGUAGGAAGGCCACCCUCCCAUGCUCUCCAAGAGGCUUCAAGAGAAGCAAUAUGUAUGUUGUAUCCCACAUUGGAAAUAUAGAAUAGAGUGGGACUUCCCUUAGCUAUAAAGGGAAGUCCUCCCUUCUUAGAGAGGAUGGAUCCAUGAUCCCUAUACUUGUAUCACUACAAAGGUCACUUAACCUCACUCAUAGUAGAAUCUCUAAGUGGACGUAGCCUUGCCUCAAGGGCAAGGUGAACCACUAUACAUACUUGUGUCCCUUUCUCUCUCUCUCUCCCCAUCAUGAUCCACACUUAGUUCCCGUACCGUAUGAUCCACACUUAGUACCGUAUGAUCCACACUUAGUUCCCGUACUGUUAGUUCCCGUACUGUAUUCUUCAGUAGAAACAUUGGCGGCGCUAGAAGGAGUUGGCGCUAGAAGGAGGGUCCCUAGGAGUUAGGGUACGAGCCUCCGACCUUGAGUAAGGGUCAUGUACGGGUACAUAAGCUACCAGGUACAUGGGUACACGCAGGACAUCCCCUCACCUUCCUCACCCAAGCCUUCGAGGAGCCAUCCGGGUACCAUGAGCCGUCCGAGUACAUGAGUACAUGCGGGUACUUGAGUCAGCGGGUACCUCCACCCCUAAGCCUCCUGUACUUUCACAAGCCCUCUCAGCGGGUACCUCCACCCCCUAAGCCUCCGGUACUUUCACAAGUCAGCGGGUACCUCCACCCCUAAGUCUCCGGUACCACUCAUGAUCACGCUGCCACACCACCACCCAUCAAGGAGUCAAGGUCCAGCUGCAUAUAGUCCCGUAUGUCAACCCACCACGGAGACCCCGACCUCUACUUGGACCCGCUAGGUUUGACUCUUCACCGGUAUCACCCAUUCAUCUCUCGGUGACACCUUCAGACCCCGGAGGAAAAAUACUUCAUUCGGUGACCAACACAACCUCCCGGUGACUACCUCUAGACUCAAUCUGAUUCUCGUACGGUAUAAUUACUCUGGUCUGCCUCAUGGUACCAGCAGCACUUACCGGUACCACUCUAUUCCUCCGGGAACUUACCACAACAAGACUAACCAGUACCCACUGGUCGCGUCCGAAUUCCACUUGCCAUGUCAACCCCUUCAAUCUGGGAAUCGGUACCGAUGACCUCAGUCCACCACUUCAAAUCCGGCUUCGAGUCAGUGGAGGCUCAUUCCGGCCGGUACUCUUCUCAGGCCGACAUCUCAGUGACUCUCACAGACAACCGACACUGGUCACCAACACUUACGUUCUUAGCUCUGCAUACCCGGAGCAUGCUUCUUACCGGUACCCUGCAUCCCAUACCGCGAGCCCUUCAUCAACGGGUACCGCUGUCAACGAGUUCUUAAGGCCCAUACCAGCACCCAUCAUCAUCGAGUCGAACACUGAGCAUCUCUCCCACACCUCCCAACCUCAACAACUCCUGGUAACAGACUCAUCUCUCUCCUGCUCUCGUACAUGUCAUGAUUAGGAGCCCGGUACCCGAAAAUGAUCUAGGCACCCAUGCCUCCUCCUGGAUUGUCAUCACCGACAACCUCAAUCUCUGGCACUACCCGGUAACCAACAGCCUACCCCAGUACCCCAGUACCCGGUAACCUCAAUUUCUGCUUCCAAAUUCACUAACUCUGGUACUCGGAAGUGGAACUUCACCUCUCAACGAUCCUCGAACAGCCUCAUGUCUCCUGUCUCAUGCACACCGGUCAGAACUCAGCAGCUUGCUUACCGGCAGCUUAUCUUACUAGCAGUCCUAUGGACACAAUCUUCUCUAGGUACCCGCUGGUCUCACCAACCCGAAAAUAGCUGCCGGCACCCUGUGUUCAUCCACCAACUCUUAGCAAAGAGAAACUUGUCCAAAAAAAAAAGAGGGUCUCGGCUCCUGGGAAACUAGUCUGGACACCCACCUUCCCAUCCCGGCAGACUGUCACCGGUAGCUUCCUCAACUCCCGGUGCCUUGCUUCACUCCCACUUCACCUCGCAACAAGGUCGUAACAGCUCCUACCGGUCUCUCAUCACACAGCAGCACUUCCCGGUGGCAUCAUUUUUCCUCCUAGAGACAAUCCCGGCAGGCUCACCGGUAGCCUCCAUUGGCCUUUGAAAUUUGAUAGAACCCGGUGUCUCCUCCCCAUGGGAGAAGAAGAACCAGAGCCUAAUAUGGCUGAGCAGACCCAGCAUCAAUCAACCGAGAUCGCUCUGAAUAAUUCCAGCCUUCUCCAAAUCCGAGUUUGAUUCGGCG
rnacentral:lncRNA from 1 species